rnacentral:lncRNA from 1 species
UCGUUUCGUUCUUUUUUCAGUUUUUGGCCACAUGGUUUUUUUAAUCAAAACUAUUAAAAAAAUGUUUUUAACCCUUUGUUUAGCUCAGCUGGUUACUUCUAUUCUAAGCUUUACUAACUGUUGAAUGUGUGAUUUUAGUGUGAAAAAUGGGCUUAAGUUAUUUGAAUAUUGUCAUAUAAAAUGUACUUUUUUUAAUUGCCCUUGCAAAUCAGGAAAAAUUAUAGUUCCAAGCAUUUUGAAGUGAGAUCGGCUAUUGUCGUUUUGUUAUUUUUUCAGUUUUUUUGCCACAUGGUUUUGUUAAUCAAAACUAUUAAAAACUGUAUUUAACCCUUUGUUUAGCUCAGCUGGUUACUUCUAUUCUGAUAUUUACUAACUGUUGAAUGUGUGAUUUUAGUGUGAAAAAUGGGCUUAAGUUAUUUGAGUAUUGUCGUAUAAAAUGUACUUUUUGUAACUGCCCUUACAAAUCAGGAAAAAAUUAUAGUUCCAAGCAUUUUGAAGUGAGAUC